CAGUAGCCGCGGGAAUACGGAGGGUGCAAGCGUUAAUCGGAAUUACUGGGCGUAAAGCGCACGCAGGCGGUCUGUCAAGUCAGAUGUGAAAUCCCCGGGCUUAACCUGGGAACUGCAUUUGAAACUGGCAGGCUAGAGUCUUGUAGAGGGGGGUAGAAUUCCAGGUGUAGCGGUGAAAUGCGUAGAGAUCGGAAGGAACAUCUGUGGCGAAGGCGACUAUCUGGGCCAACACUGACACUGAGGCACGAAAGCGUGGGGAGCAAACAGGAUUAGAUACCCCAGUAGUCCCUGUCUCUUAUAU
rnacentral:rRNA from 1 species